rnacentral:rRNA from 1 species
AGCUUAUAAGUUAUUUAAAUUUAUAUUUAUUUUUUUGUUUUGAUAGAAUUAGUUUUGUUUUUAUUAUUUUGUAAGAAUAAAGGUCUUGUGUUUAUUACAGUGUACUAGUAUUGUAAAAGAAUUUUAAAAAUUUUAAAAAAGAAGAAUUUAAUUUUUGUACCUUGUGUAUCAGGGUUUGUUAAUUAAAGUUUAUUUUUUUAAGUUUCUCGAAUUUAAAAGAGUUAUAGGUUUAUGUUUAUUGUUGUGGCAGAAGCAUUAUAAAUAUCUCUAUGGAAAAGAAAUUUUAUUCGAUUUUAAAUAUAUCUAGUUUUUUAAGAAAAAAAUUUAAUUUGCUUUUCAUUUGACUGUAGUUUUAAUUGAAUAAUAAGGCAGUAGUGAAAUUUUAUAUUUUAAGGGUUGAGCUUUAAUAUAUAUAUAUACAAUACAUGUAAAAGUUAUUAUUAGUAGAAUUGAAAGUUUUUAUCUUUGAGAGUGUUUUAUUACUGAUUAUAGGUUAAUUAAAAUUUUUAUAAUAUUUAUUUGUUUUAUUAAAAUUUAGGUUUUAAUUUUUUGAACUUAGGAAUAAUGAUAGAAUUAGUAUAAUUUUAGGUAAUUUUUAGAUUGAUUGAAAGGUUUCAUAAAGGAAUUCGGCAAAAAUGACUUUCCACCUGUUUAAUAAAAACAUGGCUUGUUGAUAAUAAUUUCAGGUCUGGCCUGCCCACUGAUUUAAUUAAAUGGCCGCGGUAUAUUGACUGUGCAAAGGUAGCAUAAUCAUUAGUUUUUUAAUUGAGAGCUUGAAUGAAGGGUUUGAUGAGAAAGUUUCUGUCUCUGUGGUAAUAGUUUAAAAUUUUAUUUUUAAGUUAAAAAGCUUAGAUUCUUGUAGAAGACGAGAAGACCCUAUAGAGUUUUAUAUUUGUGGAAGAGAGGGUAUUAGGGAAAUAUUAUGGUUCUUUUUUACAAGUAUUUUGUUGGGGUGAUGAAAAAAUUGAAAGAACUUUUUUUAAUAUAGACAUUGAUUUAUGAGUUUUUGAUCCUACAAUUUAGAUUAUAAGAUUAAAUUACCUUAGGGAUAACAGCGUAAUUUUCUUUAGAGUUCUUAUCAAAAAGAAAGAUUGCGACCUCGAUGUUGGAUUAAAAUAAAUAGUUGGUGCAAAAGCUAAUAUAUUAGGUCUGUUCGACCUUUAAAAUUUUACAUGAUCUGAGUUUAGACCGGUGUAAGCCAGGUUGGUUUCUAUCUCUAUAAAUAUAAAAUAUUUUAGUACGAAAGGACCAAGUAUUUAAUUGAAAAUUUUUUUUUAAGAAUUAUAGUAA